CCGGUCCGCCUCACCGCGUGUACUGGUCCGGCCGGGCCUUUCCUUCUGGAGAGCCCCAUGCCCUUCACUGGGCGUGCGGGGGAACCAGGACUUUUACUUUGAAAAAAUUAGAGUGUUCAAAGCAGGCCUUUGCUCGAAUACGUUAGCAUGGAAUAAUAGAAUAGGACGUGCGGUCCUAUUUUGUUGGUUUCUAGGACCGCCGUAAUGAUUAAUAGGGAUAGUCGGGGGCAUCAGUAUUCAAUUGUCAGAGGUGAAAUUCUUGGAUUUAUUGAAGACUAACUACUGCGAAAGCAUUUGCCAAGGAUGUUUUCAUUAAUCAGUGAACGAAAGUUAGGGGAUCGAAGACGAUCAGAUACCGUCGUAGUCUUAACCGUAAACUAUGCCGACUAGGGAUCGGGCGAUGUUUCUAUCUUGACUCGCUCGGCACCUUACGAGAAAUCAAAGUUUUUGGGUUCUGGGGGGAGUAUGGUCGCAAGGCUGAAACUUAAAGAAAUUGACGGA
rnacentral:rRNA from 1 species